rnacentral:rRNA from 1 species
CUACGGGUCGCUCCAGUGGGGAAUAUUGCACAAUGGAGGAAACUCUGAUGCAGCAACGCCGCGUGGAGGAUGACACUUUUCGGAGCGUAAACUCCUUUUAUAUAGGAAGAAGAUGACGGUACUAUAUGAAUAAGCGCCGGCUAACUCCGUGCCAGCAGCCGCGGUAAUACGGAGGGCGCAAGCGUUACUCGGAAUCACUGGGCGUAAAGAGCGUGUAGGCGGAUUAAAAAGUCAGAAGUGAAAUCCUAUAGCUUAACUAUAGAACUGCUUCUGAAACUCUUAAUCUAGAAUAUGGGAGAGGUAGAUGGAAUUUCUGGUGUAGGGGUAAAAUCCGUAGAGAUCAGAAGGAAUACCGAUUGCGAAGGCGAUCUACUAGAACAUUAUUGACGCUGAGACGCGAAAGCGUGGGGAGCAAACAGGAUUAGAUACCCCCGUAGUC